GACGGGCCUCCUCACAUGGUGAAGCGGCCAACUGGGUCAGGCGGGGAACCGAGCAGCCCUAACUGUGGAGCCAGUGCUGAGGGUCGGGCCCGUCACC
rnacentral:SRP_RNA from 3 species